AGGGAUCAUUACUGAGUUUACGCUCUAUAACCCUUUGUGAACAUACCUAUAACUGUUGCUUCGGCGGGUAGGGUCUCCGUGACCCUCCCGGCCUCCCGCCCCCGGGCGGGUCGGCGCCCGCCGGAGGAUAACCAAACUCUGAUUUAACGACGUUUCUUCUGAGUGGUACAAGCAAAUAAUCAAAACUUUUAACAACGGAUCUCUUGGUUCUGGCAUCGAUGAAGAACGCAGCGAAAUGCGAUAAGUAAUGUGAAUUGCAGAAUUCAGUGAAUCAUCGAAUCUUUGAACGCACAUUGCGCCCGCCAGCAUUCUGGCGGGCAUGCCUGUUCGAGCGUCAUUUCAACCCUCAAGCUCUGCUUGGUGUUGGGGCCCUACAGCUGAUGUAGGCCCUCAAAGGUAGUGGCGGACCCUCCCGGAGCCUCCUUUGCGUAGUAACUUUACGUCUCGCACUGGGAUCCGGAGGGACUCUUGCCGUAAAACCCCCCAAUUUUCCAAAGGUUGACCUCGGAUCAGGUAGGAAUACCCGCUGAA
rnacentral:rRNA from 1 species